rnacentral:rRNA from 1 species
AUGAACGCUAGCUACAGGCUUAACACAUGCAAGUCGAGGGGCAUCAGGAAGAAAGCUUGCUUUCUUUGCUGGCGACCGGCGCACGGGUGAGUAACACGUAUCCAACCUGCCCUUUACUCGGGGAUAGCCUUUCGAAAGAAAGAUUAAUACCCGAUAGCAUAAUGAUUCCGCAUGGUUUCAUUAUUAAAGGAUUCCGGUAAAGGAUGGGGAUGCGUUCCAUUAGGUUGUUGGUGAGGUAACGGCUCACCAAGCCUUCGAUGGAUAGGGGUUCUGAGAGGAAGGUCCCCCACAUUGGAACUGAGACACGGUCCAAACUCCUACGGGAGGCAGCAGUGAGGAAUAUUGGUCAAUGGGCGCUAGCCUGAACCAGCCAAGUAGCGUGAAGGAUGAAGGCUCUAUGGGUCGUAAACUUCUUUUAUAUAAGAAUAAAGUGCAGUAUGUAUACUGUUUUGUAUGUAUUAUAUGAAUAAGGAUCGGCUAACUCCGUGCCAGCAGCCGCGGUAAUACGGAGGAUCCGAGCGUUAUCCGGAUUUAUUGGGUUUAAAGGGAGCGUAGGUGGACUGGUAAGUCAGUUGUGAAAGUUUGCGGCUCAACCGUAAAAUUGCAGUUGAUACUGUCAGUCUUGAGUACAGUAGAGGUGGGCGGAAUUCGUGGUGUAGCGGUGAAAUGCUUAGAUAUCACGAAGAACUCCGAUUGCGAAGGCAGCUCACUGGACUGCAACUGACACUGAUGCUCGAAAGUGUGGGUAUCAAACAGGAUUAGAUACCCUGGUAGUCCACACAGUAAACGAUGAAUACUCGCUGUUUGCGAUAUACAGUAAGCGGCCAAGCGAAAGCAUUAAGUAUUCCACCUGGGGAGUACGCCGGCAACGGUGAAACUCAAAGGAAUUGACGGGGGCCCGCACAAGCGGAGGAACAUGUGGUUUAAUUCGAUGAUACGCGAGGAACCUUACCCGGGCUUAAAUUGCAGUGGAAUGAUGUGGAAACAUGUCAGUGAGCAAUCACCGCUGUGAAGGUGCUGCAUGGUUGUCGUCAGCUCGUGCCGUGAGGUGUCGGCUUAAGUGCCAUAACGAGCGCAACCCUUAUCUUUAGUUACUAACAGGUUAUGCUGAGGACUCUAGAGAGACUGCCGUCGUAAGAUGUGAGGAAGGUGGGGAUGACGUCAAAUCAGCACGGCCCUUACGUCCGGGGCUACACACGUGUUACAAUGGGGGGUACAGAAGGCAGCUAGCGGGUGACCGUAUGCUAAUCCCAAAAGCCUCUCUCAGUUCGGAUCGAAGUCUGCAACCCUACUUCGUGAAGCUGGAUUCGCUAGUAAUCGCGCAUCAGCCACGGCGCGGUGAAUACGUUCCCGGGCCUUGUACACACCGCCCGUCACACCAUGAGAGUUUGUAACACCCGAAGCCGGUGGCGUAACCCUUUUAGGGAGCGAGCCGUCUAAGGUGGGACAAAUGAUUAGGGUG